UACGGGGGGGGCAAGCGUUGUUCGGAAUUACUGGGCGUAAAGCGCACGUAGGCGGCUUUGUAAGUUAGGGGUGAAAGCCUGGAGCUCAACUUCAGAAUUGCCCUUAAGACUGCAUCGCUUGAAUCCAGGAGAGGUGAGUGGAAUUCCGAGUGUAGAGGUGAAAUUCGUAGAUAUUCGGAAGAACACCAGUGGCGAAGGCGGCUCACUAGACUGGUAUUGACGCUGAGGUGCGAAAGCGUGGGGAGCAAACAGG
rnacentral:rRNA from 1 species